GACGAACGCUGGCGGCGUGCUUAACACAUGCAAGUCGAACGGAAAGGCCCUGCUUUUGUGGGGUGCUCGAGUGGCGAACGGGUGAGUAACACGUGAGUAACCUGCCCUUGACUUUGGGAUAACUUCAGGAAACUGGGGCUAAUACCGGAUAGGAGCUCCUGCUGCAUGGUGGGGGUUGGAAAGUUUCGGCGGUUGGGGAUGGACUCGCGGCUUAUCAGCUUGUUGGUGGGGUAGUGGCUUACCAAGGCUUUGACGGGUAGCCGGCCUGAGAGGGUGACUGGCCACAUUGGGACUGAGAUACGGCCCAGACUCCUACGGGAGGCAGCAGUGGGGAAUAUUGCACAAUGGGCGGAAGCCUGAUGCAGCAACGCCGCGUGCGGGAUGACGGCCUUCGGGUUGUAAACCGCUUUCGCCUGUGACGAAGCGUGAGUGACGGUAAUGGGUAAAGAAGCACCGGCUAACUACGUGCCAGCAGCCGCGGUGAUACGUAGGGUGCGAGCGUUGUCCGGAUUUAUUGGGCGUAAAGGGCUCGUAGGUGGUUGAUCGCGUCGGAAGUGUAAUCUUGGGGCUUAACCCUGAGCGUGCUUUCGAUACGGGUUGACUUGAGGAAGGUAGGGGAGAAUGGAAUUCCUGGUGGAGCGGUGGAAUGCGCAGAUAUCAGGAGGAACACCAGUGGCGAAGGCGGUUCUCUGGGCCUUUCCUGACGCUGAGGAGCGAAAGCGUGGGGAGCGAACAGGCUUAGAUACCCUGGUAGUCCACGCUGUAAACGGUGGGUACUAGGUGUGGGGUCCAUUCCACGGGUUCCGUGCCGUAGCUAACGCUUUAAGUACCCCGCCUGGGGAGUACGGCCGCAAGGCUAAAACUCAAAGGAAUUGACGGGGCCCCGCACAAGCGGCGGAGCAUGCGGAUUAAUUCGAUGCAACGCGUAGAACCUUACCUGGGUUUGACAUGGAUCGGGAGUGCUCAGAGAUGGGUGUGCCUCUUUUGGGGUCGGUUCACAGGUGGUGCAUGGCUGUCGUCAGCUCGUGUCGUGAGAUGUUGGGUUAAGUCCCGCAACGAGCGCAACCCUUGUUCACUGUUGCCAGCACGUUAUGGUGGGGACUCAGUGGAGACCGCCGGGGUCAACUCGGAGGAAGGUGGGGAUGACGUCAAGUCGUCAUGCCCCUUAUGUCCAGGGCUUCACGCAUGCUACAAUGGCUGGUACAGAGAGUGGCGAGCCUGUGAGGGUGAGCGAAUCUCGGAAAGCCGGUCUCAGUUCGGAUUGGGGUCUGCAACUCGACCUCAUGAAGUCGGAGUCGCUAGUAAUCGCAGAUCAGCAACGCUGCGGUGAAUACGUUCCCGGGGCU
rnacentral:rRNA from 1 species